rnacentral:rRNA from 1 species
GCAGGCCUAACACAUGCAAGUCGAGCGGAAACGAGUUAACUGAACCUUCGGGGAACGUUAACGGCGUCGAGCGGCGGACGGGUGAGUAAUGCCUGGGAAAUUGCCCUGAUGUGGGGGAUAACCAUUGGAAACGAUGGCUAAUACCGCAUAAUAGCUUCGGCUCAAAGAGGGGGACCUUCGGGCCUCUCGCGUCAGGAUAUGCCCAGGUGGGAUUAGCUAGUUGGUGAGGUAAUGGCUCACCAAGGCGACGAUCCCUAGCUGGUCUGAGAGGAUGAUCAGCCACACUGGAACUGAGACACGGUCCAGACUCCUACGGGAGGCAGCAGUGGGGAAUAUUGCACAAUGGGCGCAAGCCUGAUGCAGCCAUGCCGCGUGUGUGAAGAAGGCCUUCGGGUUGUAAAGCACUUUCAGUCGUGAGGAAGGCGGUGUAGUUAAUAGCUGCAUCGUUUGACGUUAGCGACAGAAGAAGCACCGGCUAACUCCGUGCCAGCAGCCGCGGUAAUACGGAGGGUGCGAGCGUUAAUCGGAAUUACUGGGCGUAAAGCGCAUGCAGGUGGUUAGUUAAGUCAGAUGUGAAAGCCCGGGGCUCAACCUCGGAACUGCAUUUGAAACUGGCUGACUAGAGUACUGUAGAGGGGGGUAGAAUUUCAGGUGUAGCGGUGAAAUGCGUAGAGAUCUGAAGGAAUACCGGUGGCGAAGGCGGCCCCCUGGACAGAUACUGACACUCAGAUGCGAAAGCGUGGGGAGCAAACAGGAUUAGAUACCCUGGUAGUCCACGCCGUAAACGAUGUCUACUUGGAGGUUGUGGCCUUGAGCCGUGGCUUUCGGAGCUAACGCGUUAAGUAGACCGCCUGGGGAGUACGGUCGCAAGAUUAAAACUCAAAUGAAUUGACGGGGGCCCGCACAAGCGGUGGAGCAUGUGGUUUAAUUC